CCUACGGGAGUCAGCAGUCGAGACUCAUUCACAAUGGGGGAAACCCUGAUGGUGCGACGCCGCGUGGGGGAAUGAAGGUCUUCGGAUUGUAAACCCCUGUCAUGUGGGACCAAAUUAAAAAGAUAGUACCCCAAGAGGAAGAGACGGCUAACUCUGUGCCAGCAGCCGCGGUAAUACAGAGGUCUCAAGCGAUGUUCGGAAUCACGGGGCGUAAAGCGUGCGUAGGCUGUUUCGUAAGUCGUGUGUGAAAGGCGCGGGCUCAACCCGCGGACGGCACAUGAUACUGGGAGACUAGAGUAAUGGAGGGGGAACCGGAAUUCUCGGUGUAGCAGUGAAAUGCGUAGAUAUCGAGAAGAACACUCGUGGCGAAGGCGGGUUCCUGGACAUUAACUGACGCUGAGGCACGAAGGCCAGGGGAGCGAAAGGGAUUAGAUACCCCAGUAGUC
rnacentral:rRNA from 1 species